CCUACGGGUGGCAGCAGUAGGGAAUAUUGCUCAAUGGGGGAAACCCUGAAGCAGCAACGCCGCGUGGAGGAUGAAGGUUUUCGGAUUGUAAACUCCUUUUGUUAGAGAAGAUAAUGACGGUAGCAGAGGAGGAAGCUCCGGCUAACUACGUGCCAGCAGCCGCGGUAAUACGUAGGGAGCGAGCGUUGUCCGGAUUUACUGGGUGUAAAGGGUGCGUAGGCGGCCCUGCAAGUCAGAAGUGAAAUCCAUGGGCUUAACCCGUGAACUGCUUUUGAAACUGCAGGACUUGAGUGGAGUAGAGGUAGGCGGAAUUCCCGGUGUAGCGGUGAAAUGCGUAGAGAUCGGGAGGAACACCAGUGGCGAAGGCGGCCGACUGGGCUUUAACUGACGCUGAGGCGCGAAAGCGUGGGUAGCAAACAGGAUUAGAUACCCGAGUAGUC
rnacentral:rRNA from 1 species